CCUGGGGCCAGAGCAGAUCCUGCUCACCAGGCAGGAGCACACCUCACUUCUCGGCGUUAGCAAAGGCGAAGGUUCUCUCCCUCCACCCUCCGGGAACUCCUGAUGUGCUGCCAUUUCUGCUUUUCACCCAGGACUCUGUCAGCAGAUAUUUUAGACCAAGGGAGCAGAUGAGCAGGAGCUCUGAUGGCAAAUCUUCAGAAGCAGAGACUUAACCUUAUAGAAUGGGAAAACUCUUCAAAAGCACUGUUUGAAGAUUACUGUAAACUGAAAAGGUAA